rnacentral:rRNA from 1 species
ACUCUGUGCCAGCAGCCGCGGUAAUACAGAGGGUGCAAGCGUUAAUCGGAAUCACUGGGCGUAAAGCGCACGUAGGUGGAUAUUUAAGUCGGAUAUGAAAGCCCUAGGCUUAACCUAGGAACUGCAUUCGAUACUGGAUAUCUAGAGUAUAGGAGAGGGAAGUGGAAUUUCAGGUGUAGCGGUGAAAUGCGUAGAUAUCUGAAGGAACAUCAGUGGCGAAGGCGACUUCCUGGACUAAUACUGACACUGAGGAGCGAAAGCGUGGGGAGCAAACAGGAUUAGAUACCCCAGUAGUCCAAGCCG